rnacentral:rRNA from 1 species
UACAGAGGGUGCGAGCGUUGUUCGGAAUCACUGGGCGUAAAGAGUGCGUAGGCGGCGAUAAAAGUUAGGAGUGAAAGCCCAGGGCUCAACCUUGGAAUUGCUCUUAAAACUAUAUUGCUCGAAUUUGGGAGAGGAGAGCGGAAUUGUCAGUGUAGCAGUGAAAUGCGUAGAUAUUGACAGGAACACCAGUGGCGUAAGCGGCUCUCUGGACCAACAUUGACGCUGAGGCACGAAAGCGUGGGGAUCAAACAGG